rnacentral:rRNA from 1 species
CCUACGGGUGGCAGCAGUGAGGAAUAUUGGUCAAUGGGCGCGAGCCUGACCCAGCCAAGUAGCGUGAAGGAUGACUGCCCUACGGGUUGUAAACUUCUUUUAUAAAGGAAUAAAGUGAGGCACGUGUGCCUUUCUGCAUGUACUUUAUGAAUAAGGAUCGGCUAACUCCGUGCCAGCAGCCGCGGUCAUACGGAGGAUCCGAGCGUUUUCCGGAUUUCUUGGGUUUAAAGGGAGCGUAGAUGGGUUGUUAAGUUAGUUGUGAAAGUUUGCGGCUCAACCGUAAAAUUGCAAUUGAUACUGGAAGUCUUGAGUACAGUUGAGGUAGGCGGAAUUCGUGGUGUAGCGGUGAAAUGCUUAGAUAUCACGAAGAACUCCGAUUGCGAAGGCAGCUUACUAAACUGCAACUGACAUUGAUGCUCGAAAGUGUGGGUAUCAAACAGGAUUAGAUACCCCGGUAGUC